GACGAACGCUGGCGGCGUGCUUAACACAUGCAAGUCGAACGGUGAAGCGCCUUCCUUUUUGGUGGGUGUGGAUGAGUGGCGAGCGGGUGAGUAACACGUGAGUAACCUGCCCCCUUCUUCUGGAUAACCGCAUGAAAGUGUGGCUAAUACGGGAUAUUCUGGGUCUGUCGCAUGAUGGGUCUGGGAAAGAUAUUGUUUCGGUGGGGGAUGGGCUCGCGGCCUAUCAGCUUGUUGGUGGGGUGAUGGCCUACCAAGGCGGUGACGGGUAGCCGGCCUGAGAGGGUGGACGGUCACACUGGGACUGAGACACGGCCCAGACUCCUACGGGAGGCAGCAGUGGGGAAUAUUGCACAAUGGGCGCAAGCCUGAUGCAGCGACGCCGCGGGAGGGAUGGAGGCCUUCGGGUUGUGAACCUCUUUCGCCAGUGAAGCAGGCCUGCCUCGUUUGUGGGUGGGUUGACGGUAGCUGGAUAAGAAGCGCCGGCUAACUACGUG
rnacentral:rRNA from 1 species